rnacentral:rRNA from 1 species
AGUGGCGGACGGGUGAGUAACGCGUGAGAAUCUGCCUUGGGGUCGGGGACAACCACUGGAAACGGUGGCUAAUACCGGAUAAGCCGAUUGGUGAAAGAUUUAUUGCCCGAAGAGGAGCUCGCGUCUGAUUAGCUAGUUGGUGAGGUAAGAGCUCACCAAGGCAGCGAUCAGUAGCUGGUCUGAGAGGACGAUCAGCCACACUGGGACUGAGACACGGCCCAGACUCCUACGGGAGGCAGCAGUGGGGAAUUUUCCGCAAUGGGCGAAAGCCUGACGGAGCAAGGCCGCGUGAGGGAGGAAGGCUCUUGGGUUGUAAACCUCUUUUCUCAGGGAAGAAGCUCUGACGGUACCUGAGGAAUCAGCCUCGGCUAACUCCGUGCCAGCAGCCGCGGUAAUACGGAGGAGGCAAGCGUUAUCCGGAAUUAUUGGGCGUAAAGCGUCCGCAGGUGGCGAUUCAAGUCUGCUGUCAAAGCACGGGGCUUAACUCCGUAAAGGCAGUGGAAACUGAAUAGCUAGAGUGCCGUAGGGGUAGAGGGAAUUCCCGGUGUAGCGGUGAAAUGCGUAGAGAUCGGGAAGAACAUCGGUGGCGAAAGCGCUCUACUGGACGGCAACUGACACUCAGGGACGAAAGCUAGGGGAGCGAAUGGGAUUAGAUACCCC